rnacentral:lncRNA from 1 species
AUGUUGACUGACUGCAUAAUUUCUGACCCUUUUGACUUCUCACAAGAUGAAUGCUGCGCCCCUCCACCACCAGCAAUCAUUUCUACAGCCCUGGGAUGGAGAAGCUUCAGCUGGUUUAACCAAAGCAGUGCAGACCUUCCAGAAUUAGCCCAUGAACACCUCAGGAGACCAAACUGGCCCAUCGACCCCUCCUGCACACAAACACAUUUCUAUGAGUCUCUGAAAUGGGCACAGUAUUUCUGUAAGCCUUUCAAGAUUGCACAAUAAUUGUUUGACAGUGACUUCACACAGACCAUCGUUUCUUUACUGGAAUCCUGGAAGUAUGGCCAAAUUCCACCAUGAUAGCAUUUGUUGGAUUUGGCAGAUGAAAACCAAACAAGCCACAUCCGGCAAUGGAUUCAUAUGUAGAUAGAUUGCAAAAUCAGUUUUAUAUUUACUUCAAAUAUUUACUGACGUCAAAAGACACCUUUCUUCCUCCUGCCUUUCCCUUCUUCUUUUCCCCCUACAUUUUUUCCUACCAUAUGUUGCAUCCUGUAUGGUGUCAUGAGGAAACAGAAUUCACAGAAUUCACAGAAUGACUAGGUUGGAAGAGACCUUAAAGAUCAUUGAAUCCAACCCAUCCUUAACAUCUCAACUAAACCAUAGCACUGAGUGCCACAUUCAAUUGUUUUUUGAACACAUGCAGGGAUGGUGAAUCCAUCACCUCCCCGGGCAGACCAUUCCAGAACUUUAUCACCCUUUCUGUAAAAAACUUAUUCCCAAUAUCCAACCUAUAUUUUUCUUGAUGCUUGAGACUGUGUCCUCUGGUUCUGUCAGUUGCUGCCUGGAGAAUAAGACCAACCCCCGCCUGACUACAACCACCUUUCAGGAAGGAAACCUCUGGCAUCUAACACCAAACACCUCUGGCACUCCUGUUGAAGGCUGCUGGAUGAGCAAGAAGGACUGCUGUCUUCCCCUUGAGCCACUGGUCAGGAGCAGGAAAAAGAGAGUGGACUGAACACAGUGCAUUUUUUUUCUGCAUCAUCUGACAUCUCAAUUAAAUUCUUACAAAUGUAUAAUUUAAUGGGAAAUGAGGGUUGGUUAAAAGAAGUGGUUGAGGCAAAAUCCAGGAAAAUGAAAAGUAUUUGAGGAGAAAGGAGAAGAGCUCCACUUCAAACUCGGUCAAAUAAAGAUGACCUUGCUCUAUUUUGUAAAACA